rnacentral:rRNA from 1 species
UGCAGUCGAACGGCAGCACGGGAGCUUGCUCCUGGUGGCGAGUGGCGAACGGGUGAGUAACAUAUCGGAACGUAUCCAAUAAUGGGGGAUAACUAAUCGAAAGGUUGGCUAAUACCGCAUACGCCUUGAGGGGGAAAGCUAGGGACCUUCGGACCUGGCGUUGAUGGAGCGGCCGAUAUCUGAUUAGCUAGUUGGUGGGGUAAAGGCCCACCAAGGCGACGAUCAGUAGCUGGUCUGAGAGGACGACCAGCCACACUGGAACUGAGACACGGUCCAGACUCCUACGGGAGGCAGCAGUGGGGAAUUUUGGACAAUGGGCGCAAGCCUGAUCCAGCCAUUCCGCGUGAGUGAAGAAGGCCUUCGGGUUGUAAAGCUCUUUCGCAAGGGAAGAAAAGUUAUCCUCUAACAUAGGGUGACGAUGACGGUACCUUGAUAAGAAGCACCGGCUAACUACGUGCCAGCAGCCGCGGUAAUACGUAGGGUGCGAGCGUUAAUCGGAAUUACUGGGCGUAAAGCGUGCGCAGGCUGUUUUGUAAGUCAGAUGUGAAAUCCCCGAGCUCAACUUGGGAACUGCGUUUGAAACUACAAGACUAGAAUAUGUCAGAGGGGGGUAGAAUUCCACGUGUAGCAGUGAAAUGCGUAGAGAUGUGGAGGAAUAUCAAUGGCGAAGGCAGCCCCCUGGGAUAAUAUUGACGCUCAUGCACGAAAGCGUGGGGAGCAAACAGGAUUAGAUACCCUGGUAGUCCACGCCCUAAACGAUGUCAACUAGUUGUUGGUAGAGUAAAAUCUAUGAGUAACGCAGCUAGCGCGUGAAGUUGACCGCCUGGGGAGUACGAUCGCAAGAUUAAAACUCAAAUGAAUUGACGGGGGCCCGCACAAGCGGUGGAUUAUGUGGAUUAAUUCGAUGCAACGCGAAAAACCUUACCUGGCCUUGACAUGUACGGAACUUUCCAGAGAUGGAUUGGUGCUCGAAAG